rnacentral:rRNA from 1 species
UACGUAGGGUGCAAGCGUUAAUCGGAAUUACUGGGCGUAAAGCGUGCGCAGGCGGUUCGCUAAGACCGAUGUGAAAUCCCCGGGCUUAACCUGGGAACUGCAUUGGCGACUGGCGGGCUAGAGUAUGGCAGAGGGGGGGUAGAAUUCCACGUGUAGCAGUGAAAUGCGUAGAGAUGUGGAGGAAUACCGAUGGCGAAGGCAGCCCCCUGGGCCAAUACUGACGCUCAUGCACGAAAGCGUGGGGAGCAAACAGG